GGCCCAGUGAAUCAUGGGAGAUGGGGUGGGCAGGGCAGGAGAGGGUGGGGAGGAUGUAGCUCUGGGGUACUGAGGCUCCUUCAGGGGAGACAGGAGACCCAGCGGGGAGACAGAGCGCUGGCGGGAGAGUAAGACCUGGUUGGAGUCCUAGCUUUGCUUAACCGCUUGGUAGAUUUUGGCCACGUGGCCUCCACAGUUAGGCCUGUGAACUGAGAAAGUCUGAUGACGUGGCCUCUGGACCUGCUGUCCUCUUGUUGAGGGCUGGGAGCCCUGGGGCCUCAAGAGACAUCGGUGGCCAGAGGAAGCGGAUUCCAUACCACUGAGCCACCAGGGAAGUCCCAUCUGUGCAUCUCUGAUUUAUCUCUUCAACAAGGCCAGGAGGGCCCAGCCUUGCCGGCUUGAGGACUCAGUAAAUAUUUGUGGACUUAUCAACUGAUUGAUUGGUGCGGUCAGACAGGAGGCCUGGGACAAAGAUGCCUGAGAACUAAGAAGUGUCCCUCUCACCCUGGGCCCAGUGUCAGGGAGCUGGAGACACACAGGUGGAGACUCCAGGGCCCAGCAGGUCAUCGUGGUUCAGUAGCAGGCCCCCUGGGCUUCCCAGGUGGCACUAGCGGUAAAGAACCCACCUGCCAAUGCAGGAGAUGCAAGAGACGCGGGUUCCAUCCCUGGGUUGGGAAGAUCCCCUGGAGGAGAAAAUGGCAACCCACUCCCGUAUUCUUGCCUGGAGAAUCCCAUGGACAGAGGAGCCUGGCAGGCUAUAGUCCAUGGGGUUGCAAAGAAUCGGACACAACUGAAGUGACUUAGCACGCAGCAUGCAGUGGUCACCUCAGGCCCCUUUGAGCAAGAGAAGGGCCCUGGUUCUACAAUUGAUUACCUGCCCCCACAAAAAGGAAGCAUCCAGCUUUCAUUGGCCUUACUGUCCCUCCCCCUCCCACCACCACCCCAGGUGCCUUAUGGCUUUCUCUGUAACCU
ensembl:lncRNA